CUCCUUUGACGUUAGCGGCGGACGGGUGAGUAACAAGUGGGUAACCUACCUAUAAGACUGGGAUAACUUCGGGAAACCGGAGCUAAUACCGGAUAAUAUUUCGAACCGCAUGGUUCGAUAGUGAAAGGUGGUUUUGCUAUCACUUAUAGAUGGACCCGCGCCGUAUUAGCUAGUUGGUAAGGUAACGGCUUACCAAGGCGACGAUACGUAGCCGACCUGAGAGGGUGAUCGGCCACACUGGAACUGAGACACGGUCCAGACUCCUACGGGAGGCAGCAGCC
rnacentral:rRNA from 1 species